rnacentral:rRNA from 1 species
AUCCUGGCUCAGGUUGAACGCUGGCGGCAGGCCUAACACAUGCAAGUCGAGCGGUAACAGAAAGUAGCUUGCUAGUUUGCUGACGAGCGGCGGACGGGUGAGUAAUGCUUGGGAACAUGCCUUGAGGUGGGGGACAACAGUUGGAAACGACUGCUAAUACCGCAUAAUGUCUACGGACCAAAGGGGGCUUCGGCUCUCGCCUUUAGAUUGGCCCAAGUGGGAUUAGCUAGUUGGUGAGGUAAUGGCUCACCAAGGCGACGAUCCCUAGCUGGUUUGAGAGGAUGAUCAGCCACACUGGGACAAGGCGACGAUCCCUAGCUGGUUUGAGAGGAUGAUCAGCCACACUGGGA